UCAAAAGCGAUGAAAAGAAGAGUAGGCUCAUUACAUUAUCAACAGAGACCUCUGUAGCUGAGAAUGAGGGAUAAGAGUGUGAGUUGAACCAAGGCUUUGAGCUGUGCUCCGGAUUUAUGUAACCCAUAAUGAUGCGGCAUCGGGUUCUCCCGUUACAGAGAUAGGGUAUCGCAGGCGGAAUCUAGCCAUGCCGUACUUGAUAAGGCUUCUUUAGUGAUGAAGAAGUGAAUGGGGUGGCACCGCGACAUAAUCUCGCCCCCAAA
rnacentral:ncRNA from 1 species